ACUACGGGGGGCAGCAGUGAGGAAUAUUGGUCAAUGGCCGGAAGGCUGAACCAGCCAUGCCGCGUGAAGGGCAGGGACCUAUGGGCGUUAAACUUCUUUUGUGCGGGAGCAAUAAUGGUCACGUGUGGCCAGACGAGAGUACCGUACGAAUAAGCAGCGGCGAACUCCGUGCCAGCAGCCGCGGUAAUACGGGGGAUGCAAGCGUUAUCCGGAUUUAUUGGGGUUCAAGGGUGCGUAGGCUGGGAGGUAAGUCAGCGGUGAAAUGCCCCCGCUCAACGGGGUGAAGUGCCAUUGAUACUGCCUUGCUGGACUGCGGAUGCCGUGGGAGGAAUGUGUGGUGUAGCGGUGAAAUGCAUCGAUAUCACACAGAACCCCGAUUGCGAAGGCAUCUCACGAAUCCGCGAUUGACGCUGAUGCACGAAAGCGUGGGUAUCAAACAGGAUUAGAUACCCCUGUAGUC
rnacentral:rRNA from 1 species